rnacentral:rRNA from 1 species
GACGAACGCUGGCGGCGUGCCUAAUACAUGCAAGUCGAACCCAGUUGGGACGGGUGAGUAACACGUGGGUAACCUGCCCGUCAGAGGGGAUAACAGUUGGAAACAGGUGCUAUACCUAUACUGAUGGAUGGACCCGCGGUGCAUUAGCUAUUGGGUGGGGUAACGGCCUACCAAGGCCACGAUGCAUAGCCGACCUGAGGGGGUGAGCGGCCACACUGGGACGGAGACACGGCCCAAACUCCUACGGGAGGCAGCAUUAGGGAAUCUUCGGCAAUGGACGAAAGUCUGACCUAGCAACGCCGCGUGAGUGAAGAAGGUCUUCGGAUCGUAAAACUCUGUUGUUAGAGAAGCGGUAUCUAACCAGAAAGCCACGGCUAACUACGUGCCAGCAGCCGCGGUAAUUC